GAUGAACGCUAGCUACAGGCUUAACACAUGCAAGUCGAGGGGCAGCAUGGUCUUAGCUUGCUAAGGCCGAUGGCGACCGACGCACGGGUGAGUAACACGUAUCCAACCUGCCGUCUACUCUUGGACAGCCUUCUGAAAGGAAGAUUAAUACAAGAUGGCAUCAUGAGUCCGCAUGUUCACAUGAUUAAAGGUAUUCCGGUAGACGAUGGGGAUGCGUUCCAUUAGAUAGUAGGCGGGGUAACGGCCCACCUAGUCUUCGAUGGAUAGGGGUUCUGAGAGGAAGGUCCCCCACAUUGGAACUGAGACACGGUCCAAACUCCUACGGGAGGCAGCAGUGAGGAAUAUUGGUCAAUGGGCGCAGGCCUGAACCAGCCAAGUAGCGUGAAGGAUGACUGCCCUAUGGGUUGUAAACUUCUUUUAUAAAGGAAUAAAGUCGGGUAUGUAUACCCGUUUGCAUGUACUUUAUGAAUAAGGAUCGGCUAACUCCGUG
rnacentral:rRNA from 1 species